rnacentral:rRNA from 1 species
GGUUAAGUUACUAAGGGCACACGGUGGAUGCCUUGGCGCUAGGAGCCGAUGAAGGACGCAGCGAACUGCGAUAAGCCUCGGGGAGCGGUAAGCACGCGUUGAUCCGGGGAUCUCCGAAUGGGGGAACCCACCAUCCGUAAUGGGAUGGUAUCCGUCACUGAAUCCAUAGGUGGCGAGAAGGCACACCCGGUGAACUGAAACAUCUAAGUAGCCGGAGGAAGAGAAAACAACAGUGAUUCCGUCAGUAGUGGCGAGCGAACACGGAAGAGCCUAAACCGCAGGGUUUACUCUGCGGGGUCGUGGGACGUCUCACGUGGAGUUACAAAAGACACCUGUAGGUGAACGGUCUGGGAAGGCCGACCAGAGAGCGUGACAGUCGCGUAACCCAAACAGGUGUCUCUCCGAGACGGAUCCCGAGUAGCACGGGACACGUGAAAUCCCGUGUGAAUCUGGCAGGACCAUCUGCUAAGGCUAAAUACUCCCUAGCGACCGAUAGCGAACCAGUACCGUGAGGGAAAGGUGAAAAGCACCCCGGGAGGGGAGUGAAAUAGUACCUGAAACCGUGUGCUUACAAAUAGUCGGAGCCCGUUACAUGGGUGACGGCGUGCCUUUUGUAGAAUGAACCGGCGAGUUACGGUAGCGUGCGAGGUUAAGUCGAAGAGACGGAGCCGCAGCGAAAGCGAGUCUGAACAGGGCGAAAGUACGUUGCCGUAGACCCGAAACCGUGUGAUCUAGCCAUGUCCAGGGUGAAGGUAGGGUAACACCUACUGGAGGCCCGAACCCACGCACGUUGAAAAGUGCGGGGAUGAGGUGUGGCUAGCGGUGAAAUUCCAAUCGAACUCGGAGAUAGCUGGUUCUCCCCGAAAUAGCUUUAGGGCUAGCCUCGGAAUGAGAGUCUUGGAGGUAGAGCACUGAUUGGGCUAGGGGCCCUCAUCGGGUUACCGAACUCAGUCAAACUCCGAAUGCCAACGACUUAUGUCCGGGAGUCAGACGAUGAGUGCUAAGAUCCAUCGUCAAAAGGGAAACAGCCCAGACCAUCAGCUAAGGUCCCCAAGUGUACGUUAAGUGGGAAACGAUGUGGAGUUGCCCAGACAACCAGGAUGUUGGCUUAGAAGCAGCCACCAUUUAAAGAGUGCGUAAUAGCUCACUGGUCGAGUGACUCUGCGCGGAAAAUGUAACGGGGCUAAACGUACCACCGAAGCUAUGGCAGUCCUACGGACUGGGUAGGGGAGCGUUCCAAGCAGCGGCGAAGCCGUACCGGAAGGAGCGGUGGAGCGCUUGGAAGUGAGAAUGCCGGUGUAAGUAGCGAAAAGACAAGUGAGAAUCUUGUCCACCGAAAGCCUAAGGGUUCCUGGGGAAGGCUCGUCCUCCCAGGGUUAGUCGGGACCUAAGCUGAGGCCGAAAGGCGUAGGCGAUGGACAACAGGUUGAUAUUCCUGUACCACCUCCAUUCCGCUUGAGCAAUGGCGUGACGCAGGAGGAUAGGGCGAGCGGCCUGCUGGAUGGCCGUCCAAGCAGCAAGCCUGGUGUGUAGGCAAAUCCGCACACCGUCAAGGGCAAGCUGUGAUGGCGAGGGAAAUGCAAGUACCGAAGUCCCUGAUUUCACACUGCCAAGAAAAGCGUCUAGCGAGGAAUGAGGUGCCCGUACCGCAAACCGACACAGGUAGGCGAGGAGAGAAUCCUAAGGUGCGCGGGAGAACUCUUGCUAAGGAACUCGGCAAAAUGGCCCCGUAACUUCGGGAGAAGGGGCGCCCCGGUAGGGUUAACAGCCCGAGGGGGCCGCAGUGAAAAGGCCCAAGCGACUGUUUAGCAAAAACACAGGUCUCUGCGAAGCCGCAAGGCGAAGUAUAGGGGCUGACGCCUGCCCGGUGCUGGAAGGUUAAGGGGAUGAGUUAGCGCAAGCGAAGCUUUGAACCGAAGCCCCAGUAAACGGCGGCCGUAACUAUAACGGUCCUAAGGUAGCGAAAUUCCUUGUCGGGUAAGUUCCGACCCGCACGAAAGGCGUAACGACUUGGGCGCUGUCUCGGCAAGAGACCCGGUGAAAUCAUAAUACCUGUGAAGAUGCAGGUUACCCGCGACAAGACGGAAAGACCCCAUGGAGCUUUACUGUAGCCUGAUAUUGGACUUUGGUACGAUCUGUACAGAAUAGGUGGGAGCCUGAGAAGCCGGUGCGCCAGCAUCGGUGGAGGCGCCGUUGGGAUACCACCCUGAUCGUAUCGGAGUUCUAACCCGCGGCCCUGAUCGGGUCGGGGAACAGUGUCAGGUGGGCAGUUUGACUGGGGCGGUCGCCUCCUAAAAGGUAACGGAGGCGCCCAAAGGUUCCCUCAGAAUGGUCGGAAAUCAUUCGUAGAGUGUAAAGGCAGAAGGGAGCUUGACUGCGAGACCUACAAGUCGAGCAGGGACGAAAGUCGGGCUUAGUGAUCCGGUGGUUCCGCAUGGAAGGGCCAUCGCUCAACGGAUAAAAGCUACCCUGGGGAUAACAGGCUUAUCUCCCCCAAGAGUCCACAUCGACGGGGAGGUUUGGCACCUCGAUGUCGGCUCAUCGCAUCCUGGGGCUGAAGUAGGUCCCAAGGGUUGGGCUGUUCGCCCAUUAAAGCGGUACGCGAGCUGGGUUCAGAACGUCGUGAGACAGUUCGGUCCCUAUCUGUCGCGGGCGCAGGAAGUUUGAGGAGAGCUGUCCUUAGUACGAGAGGACCGGGAUGGACGCACCGCUGGUGCACCAGUUGUUCCGCCAGGAGCACAGCUGGGUAGCUAUGUGCGGACGGGAUAAGCGCUGAAAGCAUCUAAGCGUGAAGCCCCCUCCAAGAUGAGACUUCCCACAGCGUCAAGCUGGUAAGACCCCUCAAAGACGAUGAGGUUGAUAGGUUCGGUGUGGAAGCGCGGCAACGCGUGGAGCUGACGAAUACUAAUCGGUCGAGGACUUAUCCAC